rnacentral:tRNA from 1 species
GCCUAGCUGGCUCAGUGGGUGGAGCAUGUAACUCUUGAUCUUGAGUGGUGAGUUUGAAUCCCAUGUUGGGCA